CUGCAUUGGCAGGUGGGUUCUUUACCACUGAGCCACCAGGGAAGUAUACAUGAUAAUACAUUUCUGUUUGUUUCUCUUUUGUUAAAAAAAAGAAAAGAAAAAAGACUCCCUCCGAGGGUUUUUAAACCACAGAUUGCUCAGCUCCCACCUCAGAGUCUCUGAUUCAGUAGACCUUGGGCGGGGCCUGAGUACUGCAUUCCUAUCAAGUCACCCCAACACCAGAGUCCCAGGACCACUCUUUGAGAACCACAGGAAGUCUUCUCAGCCAGAUCAAUCAAAAGGGCCAUGCUUCCAGAAGACUUCAAAACAACACAAGUGAUCAGGACCAGGCAACUGCUGAUCCCCAGGCAGGAAUCUGGAGGCUUCCACUGACCUCACACCUGUCCUGGCCAGCAGCCUUCAGAGCAAUACCUCCGCCUGUGGUCAUUUCUGAGGAUUCCUGGGAACCUCAGAGUUUAUAUCUUCAGAUCCCUCUUGCUGCUGCCAAAGACAUAUCGGGAACAAGGUUAUUACAGGGACCCCGGAGGUCCCAUGCUGGAACCUAUUUCUGAUGGACUGCUCAUCAUGCUAAGUUUCUGGGAUAAGCCCAGUGCUUAAGUAGGAAAAGACACAGGACACGCAUGUUGGCAGUGAAAUGAGUCUCCGAGAUGCUCUUUCCAUCUUGUUUUUCAUUCCCAUUGCAAGCAGUUCACUAAGGUGUUACAGCUCAACAGGAAUUGUGGUUAUUCAGUCACUAAGUCAUCUCCAACUCUUUGCCACCCCAUGCAGCAUGCCAGGCUUCCAUGUCUUCCACAAUCUCCCGGAAUUUGCUCAAAUUUGUGUUCAUUGAGUCGGUGAUGCCAUCCAACCAUCUCAUCCCCUGCCACCCCCUUCUCCUGCCCUCAAUCUUUCCCAGCACCAGGGUCUUUUCCAAUGAGUCAGCUCUUUGCAUCAAGUGACCAAAGUAUUAGAGCUUUAGCUUCCCUGAUAGCUCAGUUGGUAAAGAAUCCACCUGCAAUGCAGGAGACCCCGGUUCGAUUCCUGGGUUGGGAAGAUCCGAUGGAGAAGGGAUAGGCCACACACUCCAGUAUUCUUUGGCUUCCCUUGUGGCUCAGCUGGUAAAGAAUUUGCCUGCCAUGUGGGAGACCUGGGUUCAAUCCCUGGGUUGAGAAGAUCCCCCGGAGAAGGGAAAGGCUACCCACUCCAGUAUUCUGGCCUGGAGAACUCCAUGGUCUGUAUAGUCCAUAGGGUCGCAAAGAGUCAGACACGACUGAGCAAAUUUCACUAACAUUUAAGAUUCAGCAUCAGUCCUUUCAAUGAAUAUUCAGGGUUGAUUUCCUUUAGGAUUGACUGGUUUGAUCUCCUUGCAGUCCAAGGGAUUCUCAAGAGUCUUCUCCAACACCACAGUUCAAAAGUUUCUUCAGCAGUCAGCUUUCUUCAUGGUCCAAUUCUCACAUCCACACAUGACUACUGGAAAAACCAUAACUUUGACUAGACAGAUCUUCGUCGACAAAGUACUGUCUCUGCUUUCUAAUAUACUGCCUAGGUUUGCCAUAGCUUUCCUUACAAAAAGCAAGUGUCUUUUAAUUUCAUGGCAGUGAUUUUGGAGCCCAAGAAAAUAAAAUCUGUCACUGUUCACACUUUUUCCUCAUCUAUUUGCCAUGAAGUGAUGGAACUAGAUGCCAUGAUCUUAGUUUUUUGAAUUCUCAAUGGGGGAGAAAAUGCAAAUUGCUUUAUUUCUUAACUACUUUAUCCUUCCCUGCUGGAAAGCAGAGCUCUUAAUGAGAGUUUGAACAUAACUCAUAACUUUGAG
ensembl:lncRNA